CAACUUUUUAUAAACGAAUUGUAAUUUCUGAAGUAAUACAUAUUUACUUAGAAUUCACUAAAUUCACUAAAAAAAACUGAAAUAAUUUGAAUUGUUUAGUGUAAAAUGUAUCUAAAUAACACAGUCACAGGUUGUAGUUUUCAUCUUGGAUGAACAUGGUUUGAAAAAAUACAAAAUUUAGGUUUAUAGUUAAUGAUGACAAAGAUAGGUCAACCAAGAUAGGAAAAUGGUUUAACACAGUUUUUUGGAAUCGCAAAUUCAUCCAGUGGAGAAAGUUGAGGACAGUUUGGCUGAUGAUAUAAUGUCAAAUGCUCCUGUAAAUUAAAGCUGCAACAAAAUUGCCACUUUUUUUAGUGUGGACAGCUGUGCAUCAUGAAAUAAAAUAUUGAGGUUAUUUCCGGAUAAAAUCACAGGUAAAAACUCAUGUGAAUUACAGUUAAUGUUUACAACUUGUUUCUUGAAGAUUAUGUCAAGCUCUAAAUGUUUUCUUGUGACUUUGAGUUGCUGUUCUUAAAUAUAGGUACAUCUCUUUUUAAUUCAAAUACUAUUAAAUUUUUAAAGACUUUUUCCAAACACUCUUGCACAGAAAUAAUAGACCACACAACCAUUUUUUUUUGUGGUGAUGAACUCAGAAUAUUGCUAUUAAAAAAAAAGUUUUGCAGUUGAAAGUUUUAAGUUUUCCAGAUGGAAAAAGUGUUAGAUAAAGUAGGUUUUCUUCAACUGUUUCAUUGGAGAAGUACACAUUCCAAAACCUAGUAUUCUUCAAUAGCUGUAACAAGAAUAUAUCUAAAAUGAUAAAAAUGGAUAAACAGCAUAUGAAGUUUGAACUUCUUGGUAACACAAGUAUGCAGAGUCAUCAGAAGUGUUACAUCUAAAUUGAUCUGAAACACACUCGAUAAUGUGAACUGUUAAACAAACAAAAAAUGAAAGAAAGAAGACAGCAGAUUAAG
rnacentral:lncRNA from 1 species